rnacentral:misc_RNA from 1 species
UAAGAUCUUUGUCGCUCCCUACUGAAAACGUAUAAGAAAUAUAAUCAUGCAAUAAGCAAAAUAAGCAUUAAAAUAACAAUAGUGCAAAAUUAUUUAAUUUUGAAGGUUUUUUAUUUCCAUUAAAUAAAAUAAUUAUUGCUUUGGUAACUAUUGUUAGUUUUGACUCCAAGGACCUUAAGAAUGUUGAAAUACAAAAAUAGAUUUUGGCAAGUAGGAUAAGGAAAAAAGCGAAAUCAAAAUUACGUUCCAUGAAAGAAAUGCUAUUCAAUCUGCUCAAAAGGACCUAGGUUCCAAAGCUAUGACCCUUGAAUAUCUGAUGUAGAACCAACAGAACAAUCAAAGGGGAAAAGAAUAAAACUCUCAAAUUCUUAGUAAUUCUCAAUUGUCAAUUAUAAAAAUAAUAAGCUCUUUACUAAUAGACCCAGAUUACAUGGGUAUUUAUACACUAAUACCUUUUGUAGACUAAUAACUAGUCCCGAUGGUAUUAGGAUUAAGAAUCCCAAAGUAAGAAAACACUAAACCAAUACUAACUUGGAAAAUAUUAAACCUAAUACUUUUAAUUAUUUCUAAAUAAUAGUAGAAUUCCUAUAUAAUAUAAACCUAAACUUCCCAAUAGAAAUUGUAAUAGAAAAUUUGAAAUAAAGAUCUUAAUUUUACAAUGAAAAAUUA